AUUUCUUCGGAGAGUUUGAUCCUGGCUCAGGAUGAACGCUGGCGGCGUGCCUAAUACAUGCAAGUCGAGCGAACU
rnacentral:rRNA from 1 species